rnacentral:lncRNA from 1 species
AAACAUAUCUUAUGCAUCAACAUAUACUUUCAUUUUGACUGUAAAGUGCACAUCCCAAAUGUUUUCUUUAAAAAAAAAUCUUUUUUGAGAAUAACCAUAAAUCAAAAUUCUAAGGGAAAUCAACAUAACUAAAAUAUUUGUAUGAGCACUGUCCUUAAGAAAUAAGAAACUGGGAGAAGUAGUUACACUCACCUUCUUCCUCUCAUUCCCAGAUACAGGAAAAGACCUUAACUGAGGGACGGUUUCCUGCUGUGUCCUCAGAACCCCAGGGCCUGGCUCAGAGAGACAAAUAUUUGCAGAGUAUGAAAGGAAAUAUGCACAAGGAUAUUCAUCAUGGCAUAAAGAGAGUGGAAAAUUGGAAGUAAUCCAAAUGGAUUUCAAUAAAGGAAUGAUGACCCAUAAAUAAAACGUAAGUGAUAUGCUGCAUAUGGAUUACACAUUGUUGAGGGAAAGGGCAGGUUAUUGCAUAGCAUGUGUAGAAUGGUCUUAUUUAUGGAAAUAAUAUGCAUGUGUAUCUAAGCAGAGAAUGUGUCUAGGCACAGAAAGACAGUCACCAAAUGUUAACAGUUACUGUUGAUUGGUCGAAUUUGGGAUGUUUUUCUCCUUUUUUUUUAUACUUUCUAAUUUGUUUGAAUUUUUAGUGAGCUUGUUGUCAUUUUAACAAAAUAAUAGUAUUUUCAAGAAUGGAGGGAUUAUUAUAGAGAAAUGUAAGGAAGGCAGAGUCAUAAUUGGCAAGUAAAAGAAACUCGAGAAGGGCAGAUCCAAGACAGCUAAAUAGGAACAGCUCUGGAGGGCAGUUCCCAAUGAGAACAACACAGAGGGUGAGUGAACAUUGCAUUUCCAAACGAGUUAUUACUGCCCACAGACCAGGAGAUUCCCAGGCUGAAAAGC